rnacentral:rRNA from 1 species
CAGUAGCCGCGGGAAUACAGAGGGUGCGAGCGUUAAUCGGAUUUACUGGGCGUAAAGCGUGCGUAGGCGGCUUCUUAAGUCGGAUGUGAAAUCCCUGAGCUUAACUUAGGAAUUGCAUUCGAUACUGGGAAGCUAGAGUAUGGGAGAGGAUGGUAGAAUUCCAGGUGUAGCGGUGAAAUUCGUAGAGAUCUGGAGGAAUACCGAUGGCGAAGGCAGCCAUCUGGCCUAAUACUGACGCUGAGGUACGAAAGCAUGGGGAGCAAACAGGAUUAGAUACCCCUGUAGUCCCUGUCUCUUAUAC